AUGUGUCACUCAGAUGACCAAGGCCAAAACCCACUGACCCUGGGCAGGACAGCAGCAUGGUGUGAAGUGAAGAGCAGGAGAGUUUCACAGGAUAAGCAAUGGCCAAAUGAAGUUUUUCUUUUUGUGCUUUACAGACCUGACAGCUGCAUCUCUUUGAACUGUGGCAAUGCAGAGCAGAGCAGUUCUUCCAGCAGAGGCUACAGGAACUCUGCUACGUGGGACUUUAACAGUGAGGGAAUAUGUAGCAGUGGAAUAAGGUGAAAGGUCUGUCAAAGUAGACAGGAGUAAAGGAUUCUAUCUUGCAAGUAAAUGAAACCAGCAUACGUCUUGAUGAAGUAUCAUUUGUACAGGAUGAAGACAGCAGUUGGGGUAAACAAAAAAAAAAAAGAGGCUUUCUUCUUCACAUAUAAAUUUUCCAUAAUGAAAACAAAUCCUGAGUUUAACCUUGCCUGUGAUUUCAAAACACUUAGUUUAUGAUUUACCUCUAUUUUCUUGGACUUCCACAGUCUAGACAAGUCUCCACAAUUAAAAAUUCACCCCAACAGUUUUCUUCACUGAUUCUCAGUCAUUUCUGCAGAGUACGUGCUGUCUUCUCAAACCUGAAAAGACAACCCAAAGCUUCAGAGCUCUGUCCAUGCAUCAAUACUUGCAAACUGUGCUCAAUGAACUUGAUGCUUUUUUAAAAUUUGUAGUUAUCAUAGUCGAAUUAGUUAUUAAAAUGGACAUACUUUGCAAGGAAAAAUAACAGCCAUUGUAUUUCUGCACAUCUAGUACAUGGAUACUGCUUUCUUCUUUCUUGAAGUUUGAAGAAGACACAUGACUUUAAUGUCACUAAAGCUUGUGUCAUAAUCAUCAAAUAGAGCUGGUGUCAGGUAAACCAGAUGGAACUUUCAACCAAUAAAUUGUAUUUAUUUUUGAUAUUAAUGACUUAU
rnacentral:lncRNA from 1 species